rnacentral:rRNA from 1 species
AUGCAAGUCGAGCGAACGGACGAGAAGCUUGCUUCUCUGAUGUUAGCGGCGGACGGGUGAGUAACACGUGGAUAACCUACCUAUAAGACUGGGAUAACUUCGGGAAACCGGAGCUAAUACCGGAUAAUAUUUUGAACCGCAUGGUUCAAAAGUGAAAGACGGUCUUGCUGUCACUUAUAGAUGGAUCCGCGCUGCAUUAGCUAGUUGGUAAGGUAACGGCUUACCAAGGCAACGAUGCAUAGCCGACCUGAGAGGGUGAUCGGCCACACUGGAACUGAGACACGGUCCAGACUCCUACGGGAGGCAGCAGUAGGGAAUCUUCCGCAAUGGGCGAAAGCCUGACGGAGCAACGCCGCGUGAGUGAUGAAGGUCUUCGGAUCGUAAAACUCUGUUAUUAGGGAAGAACAUAUGUGUAAGUAACUGUGCACAUCUUGACGGUACCUAAUCAGAAAGCCACGGCUAACUACGUGCCAGCAGCCGCGGUAAUACGUAGGUGGCAAGCGUUAUCCGGAAUUAUUGGGCGUAAAGCGCGCGUAGGCGGUUUUUUAAGUCUGAUGUGAAAGCCCACGGCUCAACCGUGGAGGGUCAUUGGAAACUGGAAAACUUGAGUGCAGAAGAGGAAAGUGGAAUUCCAUGUGUAGCGGUGAAAUGCGCAGAGAUAUGGAGGAACACCAGUGGCGAAGGCGACUUUCUGGUCUGUAACUGACGCUGAUGUGCGAAAGCGUGGGGAUCAAACAGGAUUAGAUACCCUGGUAGUCCACGCCGUAAACGAUGAGUGCUAAGUGUUAGGGGGUUUCCGCCCCUUAGUGCUGCAGCUAACGCAUUAAGCACUCCGCCUGGGGAGUACGACCGCAAGGUUGAAACUCAAAGGAAUUGACGGGGACCCGCACAAGCGGUGGAGCAUGUGGUUUAAUUCGAAGCAACGCGAAGAACCUUACCAAAUCUUGACAUCCUU